ACGGGAGGCAGCAGUAGGGAAUUUUCGGCAAUGGGGGAAACCCUGACCGAGCAACGCCGCGUGAACGAAGAAGGCCUUCGGGUCGUAAAGUUUUGUUGUUAAGGAUGAAAGAUAUUAAUAGGAAAUGAUUAGUAAGUGACAGUACUUGAUUAGAAAGUCACGGCUAACUACGUGCCAGCAGCCGCGGUAAUACGUAGGUGGCAAGCGUUAUCCGGAAUUAUUGGGCGUAAAGGGAGAGUAGGCGGUUUAGAAAGCCUAAAGUUAAAUACUACUGCUCAACGGUAGUCUGCUUUAGGAACUAAUAGACUAGAGUACAGGAGAGGUUAAUGGAAUUCCAUGUGUAGCGGUGAAAUGCGUAGAUAUAUGGAGGAACACCGGUGGCGAAGGCGAUUAACUGGACUGGAACUGACGCUGAGGCUCGAAAGCGUGGGGAGCAAAUAGGAUUAGAUACCCUGGUA
rnacentral:rRNA from 1 species